rnacentral:rRNA from 1 species
ACGCACGCUGGCGGCGUGCUUAACCCCUGCAAGUCGAACGGAAAGGCCCUGCUUUUGUGGGGUGCUCGAGUGGCGAACGGGUGAGUAACACGUGAGUAACCUGCCCUUGACUUUGGGAUAACUUCAUGAAACUGGGGCUAAUACCGGAUAGGAGCUCCUGCUGCAUGGUGGGGGUUGGAAAGUUUCGGCGGUUGGGGAUGGACUCGCGGCUUAUCAGCUUGUUGGUGGGGUAGUGGCUUACCAAGGCUUUGACGGGUAGGCGGCCUGAGAGGGUGACCGGCCACAUUGGGACUGAGAUACGGCCCAGACUCCUACGGGAGGCAGCAGUGGGGAAUAUUGCACAAUGGGCGGAAGCCUGAUGCAGCAACGCCGCGUGCGUGAUGACGGCCUUCGGGUUGUAAACCGCUUUCGCCUGUGACGAAGCGUGAGUGACGGUAAUGGGUAAAGAAGCACCGGCUAACUACGUG